GAGAGAAUAACACACUGCAGCAACGAGAAUACGUCUGGGACAUCUUCUAACAUCUGCCUGCAUUUCUCUGACCUUCCCCUCAGUGCUCUAGGACUAGGACUUUCUCUCUUUCUCCACGUCUCCCUUUGCUUCUCUCUUUCUCUCCUUCAAUGGACAGAGUUUGAUGUUCUAUCAGACUUGAAGUGUAGCUGACUUGGAAAUGGAUGGGCAAGAAAAUGAUCUCACUGUAGAUUUAAGAUUUUCUUCACUUUAUUUCAUCUUAUUUGAAUUCUGAACACUUUUUCUUUUAUGGCGGUACCUUAUUUUCUGAAUUCUAAUUUUACUUCCAUUUGUAGACUUUUUCAGUCCAUCAACAACAUCAGGUUAUCUCCUUUUCAUUGCUUGUCUUCCUGUUUUUCCUGCCAACUUCCACAGAUGUACUUUUUUUUUACUAUUUGUUUCUCCCUUUUAUUAAAGUCUUUUCAUUGUUGCCUUUGCUUCCCCAACAUAUGUUUCUCCCAAGUGCCCCUGUGCUCACUCAAGUAUUUUGCUGAUGUUGCAUGUGUUUCCUACCAAUAUUGGGCAUAGCUAUCAGCACAACUUGAUCUUUUGUUUCUAACCAAGAUCUCCAAGAUGUGUCAAUGUUACACAAUAUAUACAGUAUUUCUGUGGAGAAUAUUGAUAAACACUUCCUGACUGCUG